GGUUGGGCAUGUAUCCGCUUCUGGUUUGUACUUUCCUCCCCUCCCUUCUGCCUUCUCCAGCUUUCAGUCUCGAUUCUGCUCUAUCAUGUGAGUUUGUAGAACUAGCUGGUCUCAACUGUGGGGUGUCACCACCUUGUGUUAGAAAAAGGAGAUCUCGGGUCCAGGAAAGCACGCGAAUCUCGAAUCUCCCUUCAGAUUUUUUCCUCUUUAUAGGAGAGGAACCUCAUAACCAUGGUGGGCAGGGCACGGGCGUGGCCUAGAGGAGGGAGAGCAUCUGAGAAACAGCAUCAUUACAGAGAUGCUAUAAG
rnacentral:lncRNA from 1 species